GCUUACGGCCAUAUCUCCCUGAACACGUCUGAUCUCAGAAGCGGAGCAGCGUUGGUCCUGGUUAGUAAUUGCAUGGGAGACUGCCUGGGAAUGCCAGGUGCUGUAAGCU
rnacentral:rRNA from 11 species